GAUAAGGUGGCUGAAUAAUAGGCUGUAAAUUGUAAAUUUACAUAUGGUGGUUAAACCUCUUAUCA
rnacentral:tRNA from 1 species